UGAGCCUCAGAAUGAGGUGAAGAACUUGCGCUCAGGUUCGAGCCGAGCGAGACAGCAACGCGUUAGUGUUGACCCCGAAGGGGCGAGGCCAAAGGCCGAGUCAUCCUGCAAUACCCACUA
rnacentral:sRNA from 1 species